GAUGCAAAACCAUCAGCUCUGCGUACCAAGCAGAGCCACCAGACACAACGGGGACCUGACAGCAACGAGACUGAGACCGAGCUCGACUGCCUGGAUCCUGAGAGAAUGAGGAAAUCAGUGGUGCUUCAGGAUAUUGUGAAUUUGGACUUCUGAAAGCAGAAUUCUGAUUUAACAGUAUAAUGGAAUUCAUGAAUGUCAUGGUGCUCAUUUGAACCAACAAGCAGCCUUGUCAGAGGAAUCUGCUUUUCCUCAAAUCUGAAGAACACCAGGAGAAUCUUUCUGGAUGGAGUUACCAGGAAUCCUUUGCUGAGGAAAGUGAAAGGGAAGAUGCAAUUUCUCCUGGGAAGGGGGGAUGCUGAUGUAGAGGGUGAUAAGUAUAUGCUAUGAAGCAUUCAGUCACCUGGUUAGAUUUAGAGUUAGAGAGGAAGGCAAGGAUGCAAGGAAGCAAGAAAUGAUAAAAUUUAUUCUAAGAUAAAAUUUGUGAAUUUUGC